UUUACUUACCCACUAUCCUAAACCUAAUAUAAAACUAAGCUUUCCAAACACGCUAUAACUUUCAUGCAAUUUUAAUAAUAACGUAAAAAAAUCGAGCCAAAAUCAAACACUUC
rnacentral:rRNA from 1 species